UACAGAGGUCCCAAGCGUUGUCCGGAAUCAUUGGGCGUAAAGAGCGUGUAGGCGGCUCGGUAAGUCCGCUGUGAAAGUCCAGGGCUCAACCCUGGAAUGCCGGUGGAAACUGUCGAGCUAGAGUCCGGAAGAGGCGAGUGGAAUUCCUGGUGUAGCGGUGAAAUGCGCAGAUAUCAGGAGGAACACCAAUGGCGAGGGCAGCUCGCUGGGACGGUACUGACGCUGAGACGCGAAAGCGUGGGGAGCAAACAGG
rnacentral:rRNA from 1 species